UACGUAGGGUGCGAGCGUUGUCCGGAAUUAUUGGGCGUAAAGGGCUCGUAGGCGGUUUGUCACGUCGGGAGUGAAAACUCAGGGCUUAACCCUGAGCCUGCUUCCGAUACGGGCAGACUAGAGGUAUGCAGGGGAGAAUGGAAUUCCUGGUGUAGCGGUGAAAUGCGCAGAUAUCAGGAGGAACACCGGUGGCGAAGGCGGUUCUCUGGGCAUUACCUGACGCUGAGGAGCGAAAGUGUGGGGAGCGAACAGG
rnacentral:rRNA from 1 species